rnacentral:rRNA from 1 species
UACGAGAGCCUCAAGCGUUAUCCGGAAUUAUUGGGCGUAAAGGGUGUGUAGGCGGUAAUGUUAGUCUCAUGUCAAAGCCUCUGGCUUAACCAGAGAUCCGCAUGGGAAACGGCAUAACUAGGAGGGUGCGAGAGGUGAAUGGAACUCACGGUGUAGGGGUGAAAUCCGUUGAUAUCGUGGGGAACGCCAAAAGCGAAGGCAAUUCACUGGCGCAUACCUGACGCUGAAACACGAAAGCCAGGGUAUCGAAUGGG